GAACUGUGAUGUCAAUUUAAUGAUAAAUCAGGGAUUCCAUUUAACGUGUCAGUCUGGAUACAGUAUCUCAGCAUGAACCGUCAACAGUGAACUACUGGCUAUCGUGUCCCUUUUACUUACAGGUGGAGUCAAUGAAACAAUGAAUGGACAACCUGAUGCUUGGAUAUUUGGGAUAUUUUGGAGGAGCGGAUGUCCUAUAUUUCCACGUCCAAGAAGGGGUGUCGCCGUGUGUGUCGUGGGAAGUGAGCUGUAUGGCGUAUUUAAAUCAAGCAGAAGAAAAGGACGGUGUCGCCAUGCAGAAAAAAAGCUGACGCAGAAAGUAAUUAACGACCUGGAAAGAAGAGAGUUCAGAGCCAAGAUAGAGAAAGAAGAAUCUGCUAAAAUUGAGAUAUUUCAGAAUUACAGCCCAUGUGGAGAAUGUGCGGAAAUCUUUAGCAUGGUUCUAAAACAAUUACAUACUUUUAACCCAAAUGUCACCCUACACGUUCAUUUCGUGUGCUUGUACAAGAUAUUUUGGAACAUGGAAGGUUCAAGGCCACACUUUAUCACACCAGAGGAUCACAACAAGAACCUUAAAGGAUUGUUGGAUCUCAAAACGAUGGGAAUACAAAUGAAAUCAUUCACUUCUCAAACAUGGGCACAUCUAUGGAACAUAUGUAUGUCUGACACAAAUAGGCCAGUUCCUGCAGUUGAAGGUUAUCCAGAAUUGUUCGGACGACACAGACGAGAAAUAGCUGAUAAAAAAACAGCUGAAACAUUUCAAAAGAUUAUUCGAGAACCACAGUUUUGCCUGAAAUAGAUUCUAGCCUUAGAACACUAUUCAUAUUCACGUAAUCAUCUUGACAAGUAUUGUUAUUGUCAACUUAAAUCUUAGAAAUAUAUGCUACUAAAUCGUUUCAGAUCAUUCAACAGUGACUCAAACUUAAAAGAUUAUUUAUGUGCAAAAACUGAAUUCAGAAAGAAGUGUAAAACUAAGCAAAAUGAGUAUAAAAUACAUAUGAGUCAGAAAUUAACCGAGGCUAUAAAUAUGAAUGAUUUUAAAGAGUUCUGGAAGACUAUAAAGCACUAUUUGAGAAGUAACGCACGACAAGGUGAUAUAACCCCUGACACUUGGUUUAGAUAUUUUAAGGAUUUAUUAAAUCCAGCUUUUAUCAGAGAUGUGAAUGAAUUUGAUAAAUCAGUUCAGGAAUUUUUAGAUUCCCAUUCAUGUCAACAUUGUAAUGAUGUGCCUUUUACUGACUAGCUCUUAUCAGGUGAAAUUACUGAAAAUGAAAUUAAACAAGCUUUAAAUGAUUUAAAAGUGGGUAAAGCAGCCGGUGAGGAUGGUAUACCCCCCGAAUAUAUUAAAAGUAUAA